rnacentral:rRNA from 1 species
GUCCAUGGCCAUAGCACCCUGAACCAGCCCCAUCUUGUCUGAUCUUGGAAGCUAAGCAGGGAUGGGCCUGGUUAGGAUUUGGGGUCUUGGAUG